UACGAUACGGAGGGCCUCCGCUGCUCGCUGCUAGUGGGGGAGCCAAGCACGCGCGUGCGCUGCCAGAAAAAAACGCUCGUGCGGCGAAAGUGAAAAGCAAAGGGAGGGGGCGGCGCCGCGGAAAAUGGAUAGGUGACUUUUCCCUCACCCGGCACCCCUCGUGAAAGAAGCCCCUGGGCCCCAAGACACGGACGCGGGCCAAGCGUUGCAGUGUUGUGGUACCUGGUCGCUGGCGCUCUGUGCAACAGCGCAAUGCGCCCCAUUUGACGAACAUCCCGACGUACUGGCUGAAUGACGGCGCGGAGACGGCGCCGAAACAUGUCCGACUUCACGGAUAUAAGUUUCUAAGCAGUGAAGUAACAAGAGUAAUAAUAUCUUGGAAUUAUUAUCGAACAAUCACCAAACGAUAAAGAGAGAAUGUGGCAGGACAUCGAGAGCGUUCUGCUGGGAGACAGUCACUCAGGAGACCAGCGGUACCCUGCGCCGGCCUGCGCCCCAGCGGUCGACGCGCCGCCCGCUCCUGCCCCUGCACUGCCUGGCGCCGCCGCCACCUCCGCCGCCGACGGGCACAAGUACG